GGCGCUGUGGCUUAGGUAAAGCUGCUGCCUGCAGUGCCAGCAUCCCAUAUGGGUGCCGGUUCGAGUCCUGCCUGUUCCA
rnacentral:tRNA from 1 species